GACGGAGGAUGCAAGUGUUAUCCGGAAUCACUGGGCGUAAAGCGUCUGUAGGUGGUUUAAUAAGUCAACUGUUAAAUCUUGAGGCUCAACCUCAAAAUCGCAGUCGAAACUAUUAGGCUAGAGUAUAGUAGGGGUAAAGGGAAUUUCCAGUGGAGCGGUGAAAUGCGUAGAGAUUGGAAAGAACACAGAUGGCGAAGGCACUUUACUGGGCUAUUACUAACACUCAGAGACGAAAGCUAGGGUAGCAAAUGGG
rnacentral:rRNA from 1 species